rnacentral:lncRNA from 1 species
UUCUCUCGGGAUACAUGGCAGGUUCCAAUAGCUAAUCGCGUCGAAAUGGAGAGAAUUUGAAAAAGGAAAAUGAGAAUCAUCGAAUCAGAUUAAAAUCUAUUGAUUCAAAUGGGUAAAUCAUGGAGCCCUUGGCCCAAUGUUUGACUCAGAUUUCUGGUUAAUUACAGCAGCGAUCCGAGCUUACAAAGCUAAAUCCAGCCCCAAAACUUUUUAAACAUAUAAAUCCCCUCUCAAUCCAAAGAAGUCGUUGCCGUCUACCACUUGAGAAAUCCGAGAUUUGGAAGGAGGUAGAGGAGGGAGGCGAUCAAGGAGACGGUAGCCGCGAUCUCGGAGGGUGUGAAGGCGUCGGACGGGCCUGGUGCGCCGGACUUCUGGCGCCACCGUCUUGAGAGGAGGUAGAUAGAGGCGAAGAGGAGGACGGUGAAAAACUUGGUCGCGUAGCGGCUGGGGCCAGGAGGGCCAUCAGGUUCCAGGACCGGCGGCCGGCGAGGCUCGCGAAGGUCUCUUCCUCCGCCGUCACCACUGUUUUCCAUGAGUUGACGAGAGGCUUGAAGGGUUGGAGAGCGUCGCAGACGGGCAGAGGAAUCGGCAGGGGGAACCUGCGUUGACUGUAUUGGAUCUUGGCUUUGG